GCCCCAGUAGCUCAACGGAUAGAGCGGCAGACUUCUAAUCUGUAGGUUGGGGGUUCGAUUCCCUCCUGGGGUG
rnacentral:tRNA from 1 species